ACGUUAUUCGGAAUCACUGGGCUUAAAGCGCGUGUAGGCGGCCCGGCACGUCAUCGGUUGAAAUCCCCCGGCUCAACCGGGGAAGGGGCCGUGAUACGGCCGGGCUGGAGGGGGGUAGGGGGGACGGGAACUUCCGGUGGAGCGGUGAAAUGCGUUGAGAUCGGAAGGAACGCCCGCGGCGAAAGCGCGUCCCUGGACCCCACCUGACGCUGAGACGCGAAAGCCAGGGGAGCGAACGGG
rnacentral:rRNA from 1 species